ensembl:lncRNA
CAAUUGCUAUAGCAACUCUAAUGAAAUCUCACUCUCUAAAUAGCCACGGCAAUUUUAUCAGCUUAAACAAAAUGUAGGAAUUUUUUUUUUAAAUAAUGCGUGUAGUCCACUAAUGUUUUUGGAAAGACAAACCCUCUGGAGAAACAAGACAAAGCCUGUAUCGUGUUCCUGUGAUGUUCCUGCUGACUGACCUGAGGAUUUGGAGCAAGGCACUGAAAAUUCACCAUCAUUACAAUCCAGCACGGCUCAUUCAGUAAAAGCACAUUUCAGGAAAUCUGACAUUACUACCAAGGAAGUAUUGUCCACCAUGCAGGCUGAGCUGGUUCUUGCAAUCCUUUCACCUGCAGAAAGCCCCAGAUCCCUUUCCCAACCUGGAGGACUGAUGGCUUCAUUCUGCAAGGGCUGAUGCUGGAAAGAAGGGAGGAAAUUACUGCAAAGCACCCAAUCACCAAUCUGAACCACUAGGCUGGAUACUGCUCCUCCAGGUGUAUUCUCCUCUUUCUAACCAGAAAAUCCACUGCAAACCUCUGGGUCUGAGCAUCCCUGAUCCCCUGGAGCUGGGGUUUUCCGAGUCAUUAUGACAAAUGGCUCACGCUGAUGUCACUCAUUUCCCCAAGGAUCUCUCAGCUCUCCAGCCAGCAUGUAGCAAACUGCAAACAGUAUUUCAAAAUGAAAAAUCGCAGGUGUUUUCUGGAUGCCAUCCAAAGGAAGGAGCAUGGAUUUCAGGCAGAAAUCAAAUCAGACCACACGGAAAGAUCUCCCUGAACACUCCAGACAGUCAACAGAUGGUAGCUGUGACAUUACGAGUCAACCUGCACACCUGGGAAACCACAGCCAGGAGCUGCAGAAGUGUACAUUUAUAAAAUCUUUUAAUAAGGAAGAGCUGAAACAGCAGAAAUGCCUCGCCAUAGACUUUGGUACUGUAGGAGAAAUAAAGAAUAUUUUCUGCUUCGUGCCAUGUCCUGCCUGCUAAAUGUAAUGAUAAUCCAUACCAUCAUACCAUAUACCAUCUUUGGAGACCCACUUGAUUAUCUAUCUAUCUAUCUAUCUAUCUAUCUAUCUAUCUAUCUAUCUAUCUAUCAUCUAUCUAGCUAGCUAGCUACCAUCCAUCAUCCAUCCAUCUACCUAUCUAUCCUAUUAUUAAACUACAGUAAUGGCUUUUGCUGGAGUCUACCAGAGGAGCAUCCUGGAAUGAAUCUUUUGAGGUUAUGUUAGCUGUAGUUAACAUUUGCAUUGUCUUUACCUGUUUAUUCCAUUCUGUACUUGCUUUGUUCCAGAUGUUGGGGAAGUCCUGUAUCUUCUCCUUAUCCCUCUCCCCAUCUGACAACCACAUUAAUAUAUCCUUAGCAAGAUUCUUACAUCUUUGGUUAAGCCUGCUGGAUAAAUAUAAUUUAUGUAGCCUUCACUGACACUAUCUAUUUCUGAUGAUGGAGAAAUGAAUAAUGCAGUUAUGAGAGGAGCUUACUCAUGGGUUACCUGUAACUCUGCGUGAGUGCAUAAAUGCUAUUCUGUUGGUGGACCCAGGGCUGACAUAAACAAAAAUUUCCAAAACUGAAUAUUUGGGUGUUUGGGUUGAUGCUUGCUGAUUAUCCAGCUUCCUUUCACAACCAAAAUGUAGCUGCUCAUGAAAACCACAUGAAAAUCUGAAAAUGUAUAUAUAAAAUGGCAGAUACAUGGAAGGUUUCUAUUAGGAAAAAAAAAAAGAAUAAAUAUUAUUUGAGUAAGGAUUAUAUAUUGAGAAACAACACUUCCCCUUUGUUGCAUCUUUUCCUUUGCAGUAACUAUGGUUUAAAUUCAUGUUUAAUUUGUGAAAAUACUGUCAUAAGGUAUUUUGGCUUUAAUACAGCAAGGAACACAAAUCCUACAUUUGUAGGAGAAUAUUUUGUAUUUGGCUUGGCAAAAAUAGCUGCAUGGAAACUGUGGUCCUGGAUUUUAAUGAACCUUGUUGUUAAUGACAACUACUUAAUAUUUUACUCGUAUAUUCUUUUGGGUUCAUUUAAACUGCAGCUCGCCUAAGCACUGCAGAAAGACAUAAUAUGAUAAAUUAGGCUAAGUCAAAGAGGAGAAAUUAUUUUAAAUGAAUACAAACAUCUAAUUUGUCUGGGCUUCUAAUGAAUUGAAAUGCCAAUAUUACUAGAGUUGACAGCAAUGUAUAUUCUAUUAAA